rnacentral:rRNA from 1 species
GUUAAAAAGCUCGUAGUUGGAUUUCUGGUACAAUGCGCCUGGCCCGCCAAGGUUACUUGUGUGAAUGCCGGUGCGCGUUUGCCAUCCUUCUAGAGAACGUUUCUACCCUUCGCUGGGCCGGACUCGCGAUCUAGAUCUUUUACUUUGAAAAAAUUAGAGUGUUUAAAGCAGGCUAUCGCUAUGAAUACAUUAGCAUGGAAUAAUAAUCUAGGACUUCGGUUCUAUUUUGUUGGUUUCUAGUACUGAAGUAAUGAUUGAUAGGGAUAGUUGGGGGUGCUAGUAUUGGCCGGCCAGAGGUGAAAUUCUUGGAUUCGGUCAAGACUAACUUAUGCGAAAGCAUUCACCAAGGAUGUCUUCUUUAAUCAAGAACGAAAGUUGGGGGAUCGAAGACGAUCAGAUACCGUCGUAGUCUCAACCAUAAACUAUGCCAACUAGGGAUGAGUGGACGUUGCAUUUUCGACUCCAUUCGCACCUUAUGAGAAAUCAAAGUCCUUGGGUUCCGGGGGGAGUAUGGUCGCAAGGCUGAAACUUAAAGGAAUUGACGGAAGGGCACCACCAGGAGUGGAGCCUGCGGCUUAAUUUGACUCAACACGGGAAAACUUACCAGGUCCGGACAUAGUGAGGAUUGACAGAUUGAAGAUC